AUCUUCUCCCGAUCUCUCUUCUUCAGCCUGCCUUCUACCUCAGCGAGUUCUUUAUCCAAUUUGUUUUUUUGUGUUUCCAUAUUUCAUUUUUCAUAUUUUUUUUUCUUCUUUUCCACAAGAGUGGGUUAGUAAUUGUCUCUUUUUGAUUUUCGUUUAUAAUUGGAUUUGAGGUUUAUUUGUAAGAGGCUUUUUAUAAAUAAAAAAAUACUCAUCCAUUUAUACGAUACGAUACGAUACGAUACGAUACGAUACGAUUGAAAUGUAAAGGUGAGAAAGGUUAGUUUCAUUUUAUUAUUUUUUUUUUUUUUGUAUAUAGUAUAUUGUUUUUUAGGCUAUAUAUGGUUCUGUUUCCAUCAGUAUUCAUUUCUUCAAAUCUCCUGCAAACCCAUUUCCUUCUUGCGGAUACAGUAAAUAUUUUCAAUUUGUUUUUGCAACUUAUCUAAUUUUUUUUUUUUUUUACCAAAUCGAGGUUUAUAUGUAAUCUGUCAUUUACAAUUAUACUUUUACUGUGAGGGAAGUUUAUUUGCUCAUUUACAAUUGUUCCUCUACUGUUGUUUCAUUAUUAAAGGAGGCAUUCACCGAAAGGCCAUACCCAGAUUAUUGUCUACUAUGGAUUUUUUAAUCACUCAAAGUUAUUGUCUUCCUCUCAAGAUUUUUUUUUUCUUUUUUAAAAUUAAACUAAAUUCAUUUAUUUAGUUUUCCGAUCAUUAUUGAUUUUUUGUUUGCUGAAAUUUAUAUUGAACCGAAGUUUAUCAUUUUCUUUAGAUAGCUUGAACAACUCUUCCCAGGGGAAGAGUCCUACCAAGGAUGGAAACCGCUUCUUUAACAGAAAUUGUUUGGGUUUUAUGAUAUCAAGAGAAGAGAUUG
rnacentral:lncRNA from 1 species